AUGAAGCUUGAGCAGCAUCUGGGCGCGGAGCCUGUGGUGGCCUUCAUUGCUGCCAUCACCGCCAUUGCUGCUGCGGGUGUUGGCGUUGGAGGCAGGCGCUGGCGGCCUGCAGUUGGGCGGCGGCCCUGGGCCCUGGGCUCCCUAUGCGCACUGGUCAAACAGGGCAAGCAGCGGAGAGCUCAGCUUCAGCCUGUGCACCAGUCCCAGUGGAUGAAUCCAGUGGUGCAGCCAGUGGUACCAGGAGCAGCACUGAGGACCAGUGAACUGGGGGACAGACAGAUGGACAGAUAUGGAUUGAUAGGAAUGCUGUGCCAUUUAUAUAAACAUAAAAGUCCUGAUGAAGACAUUUCCCCCAAACCUACAAUUUUCUUUCCUUCAAUUGCUGAAAUAAAACUCUGUAAGGCUGAAACAUAUCUUUGUCUUCUUGAGGAUUUUUUCCCUGAUGUUUUCAAGAUAGAUUGGAAAGAAGAGGAUGACAAAACAAUUCUAAAAUCACAGCAGGGAGACACCAUGAAGACUAAUGACACAUACAUGAAAUUCAGCUGGCUGACCGUGACUAGAGCAUAAUGGAUCAAGACACAAAUGUAUCAUCAACCCCGAGCAGGAUAAGGGAAAUGUUGAUCAAGAGAUACUUUUUCCUUCAAUAAACAAAGAUUUGCUGCCAGCACUGGAAUACAAAGUAGACUCCCAGGGACAUUCAAGGACAAAGCAAAACAAAGAGGUGUUAACUGUGAGCCCUUUGAGUUCAGCAUUCUCACUUAUUCCAAGGGCUGUGAAGCUUACUGCUAUUCACUCCACAAAAGCUUCUCUGAAUGAUGAAAUUGACACCCUGCAGGUGCAGCUCAUGAACACAUCUGCCUACUACACCUACCUCCUCCUCUUCCUAAAGAGCCUGGUCUACUCCAUCAUUAUCGUCUCUCUGCUUGGGAGACCAUCACUCUAUAGCAAUGGGAAGAGUUCCUAA